rnacentral:rRNA from 1 species
UACGUAGGGUGCAAGCGUUGUCCGGAAUUAUUGGGCGUAAAGAGCUCGUAGGCGGUCUGUCGCGUCGGCUGUGAAAUCCCGAGGCUCAACCUCGGGUCUGCAGUCGAUACGGGCAAACUGGAGUGUUGCAGGGGAGACUGGAAUUCCUGGUGUAGCGGUGAAAUGCGCAGAUAUCAGGAGGAACACCGGUGGCGAAGGCGGUUCUCUGGGCAUUACCUGACGCUGAGGAGCGAAAGCGUGGGGAGCAAACAGG